rnacentral:sRNA from 1 species
GCAUGUCUGCACAGACCUCAAAUGAUGGAGCAUUCUCCUCCCCUCCUCUGCUGUCCUUCGUCAGACUCUACAAUCAUGGCUAGAAGAAAAAAGUUGACUUAACCGUUCUUUGUUGAAAUUUGGGACUGUGUUAGAGAUACCAGGUCUCAAUCAAAUACAGCCUUCAAUAAAAGACUCUUACGUAACCAGAUCCUAUGAGCAGGGAGCCGUCAUGCCUCCAACUUAGUUUCUUCAGAUUGGCUGGUUUUGGUGCUCAACUGUUGACUUUACCCACCUUCCUGACAAAGUGUUGAGGACCACUAGGUAAGCAUGCUAUCUUCAACGUUAAAAAAAAAAUCAUGAUUGAAGGCAGCUGCACUUCAUAUAUCAAGGAGCAUUGAAUAUAACUAACUCUAAAACUU